GGGCCCGCACAAGCGGUGGAGUAUGUGGUUUAAUUCGAUGCAACGCGAAGAACCUUACCAGGGUUUGACAUCCUGCGAAUUUCUGGGAAACCGGAAAGUGCCUUCGGGAGCGCAGUGACAGGUGGUGCAUGGCUGUCGUCAGCUCGUGUCGUGAGAUGUUGGGUUAAGUCCCGCAACGAGCGCAACCCACGUCUUUAGUUGCCAGCAUUUAGUUGGGCACUCUAGAGAGACCGCCGGUGAUAAACCGGAGGAAGGUGUGGAUGACGUCAAGUCAUCAUGCCCCUUACAUCCUGGGCUACACACGUACUACAAUGCUACGGACAAAGGGCAGCAAACUCGCGAGAGCUAGCAAAUCCCAUAAACCGUGGCUCAGUUCAGAUCGUAGGCUGCAACUCGCCUACGUGAAGGAGGAAUCGCUAGUAAUCGC
rnacentral:rRNA from 1 species